AAAAGCUAAAAAUAGCACACAUUCAGGUUUAAGGCUCUAAAUUUGCAAUAUGUGACUUUUUGCUCCAAAAAAGAUUAAAAUGUGGCUACUUUUAUUUUAAAUGAUCAGUUAAGACCAAAAAAUCAAUUGUUUUCUGAAUUUUGGGUUUCACCGCAUUUCUCUUAAAGGUGUCAGACCACCAAUUAAAAAUCCCUAUCUGUUCAACCAAAUUUUGCAAUUUUCACAGCUUUUUAAAUAUUUUACCUUAAGUUUAACUUCAUAGAAACCAGGUAUAUCCUUAAUUGUACAUGUAUCAGCUUUCUACAUGCCAAUUUUCACCAUACCUUUAAAGCCUUCUAACAAAAUAACUGACCUUCAAACAGAG
rnacentral:lncRNA from 1 species